CGGUUAAGUUAGAAAGGGCGCACGGUGGAUGCCUUGGCACUAGGAGCCGAUGAAGGACGGGACGAACACCGAUAUGCUUCGGGGAGCUGUAAGCAAGCUUUGAUCCGGAGAUUUCCGAAUGGGGAAACCCACCACUCGUAAUGGAGUGGUAUCCAUAUCUGAAUACAUAGGAUAUGAGAAGGCAGACCCGGGGAACUGAAACAUCUAAGUACCCGGAGGAAGAGAAAGCAAAUGCGAUUCCCUGAGUAGCGGCGAGCGAAACGGGACCAGCCCAAACCAAGAGGCUUGCCUCUUGGGGUUGUAGGACACUCUGUACGGAGUUACAAAGGAACGAGGUAGAUGAAGAGGUCUGGAAAGGCCCGCCAUAGGAGGUAACAGCCCUGUAGUCAAAACUUCGUUCUCUCCUGAGUGGAUCCUGAGUACGGCGGAACACGUGAAAUUCCGUCGGAAUCCGGGAGGACCAUCUCCCAAGGCUAAAUACUCCCUAGUGACCGAUAGUGAACCAGUACCGUGAGGGAAAGGUGAAAAGCACCCCGGAAGGGGAGUGAAAGAGAUCCUGAAACCGUGUGCCUACAAGUAGUCAGAGCCCGUUAACGGGUGAUGGCGUGCCUUUUGUAGAAUGAACCGGCGAGUUACGAUCCCGUGCAAGGUUAAGCAGAAGAUGCGGAGCCGCAGCGAAAGCGAGUCUGAAUAGGGCGAAUUGAGUACGUGGUCGUAGACCCGAAACCAGGUGAUCUACCCAUGUCCAGGGUGAAGUUCAGGUAACACUGAAUGGAGGCCCGAACCCACGCACGUUGAAAAGUGCGGGGAUGAGGUGUGGGUAGGGGUGAAAUGCCAAUCGAACCUGGAGAUAGCUGGUUCUCUCCGAAAUAGCUUUAGGGCUAGCCUCAAGGUAAGAGUCUCGGAGGUAGAGCACUGAUUGGACUAGGGGCCCCUACCGGGUUACCGAAUUCAGUCAAACUCCGAAUGCCGAUGACUUAUCCUUGGGAGUCAGACUGCGAGUGAUAAGAUCCGUAGUCGAAAGGGAAACAGCCCAGACCGCCAGCUAAGGUCCCAAAGUAUACGUUAAGUGGAAAAGGAUGUGGAGUUGCUUAGACAACCAGGAUGUUGGCUUAGAAGCAGCCACCAUUUAAAGAGUGCGUAAUAGCUCACUGGUCGAGUGACUCUGCGCCGAAAAUGUACCGGGGCUAAACGUAUCACCGAAGCUGCGGACUGUUCUUCGAACAGUGGUAGGAGAGCGUUCUAAGGGCUGUGAAGCAAGACCGGAAGGACUUGUGGAGCGCUUAGAAGUGAGAAUGCCGGUAUGAGUAGCGAAAGAGGGGUGAGAAUCCCCUCCACCGAAUGCCUAAGGUUUCCUGAGGAAGGCUCGUCCGCUCAGGGUUAGUCGGGACCUAAGCCGAGGCCGAAAGGCGUAGGCGAUGGAUAACAGGUUGAUAUUCCUGUACCACCUCCUCACCAUUUGAGCAAUGGGGGGACGCAGGAGGAUAGGGUAAGCGCGGUAUUGGAUAUCCGCGUCCAAGCAGUUAGGCUGGGAAAUAGGCAAAUCCGUUUCCCGUGAAGGCUGAGCUGUGAUGGCGAGCGAAUUAUAGUAGCGAAGUUCCUGAUUCCACACUGCCAAGAAAAGCCUCUAGCGAGGUGAGAGGUGCCCGUACCGCAAACCGACACAGGUAGGCGAGGAGAGAAUCCUAAGGUGAUCGAGAGAACUCUCGUUAAGGAACUCGGCAAAAUGACCCCGUAACUUCGGGAGAAGGGGUGCUCUGUUAGGGUGAAAGCCCGAGAGAGCCGCAGUGAAUAGGCCCAGGCGACUGUUUAGCAAAAACACAGGUCUCUGCGAAGCCGUAAGGCGAAGUAUAGGGGCUGACGCCUGCCCGGUGCUGGAAGGUUAAGAGGAGCGCUUAGCGUAAGCGAAGGUGCGAAUUGAAGCCCCAGUAAACGGCGGCCGUAACUAUAACGGUCCUAAGGUAGCGAAAUUCCUUGUCGGGUAAGUUCCGACCCGCACGAAAGGCGCAACGAUCUGGGCACUGUCUCAACGAGAGACUCGGUGAAAUUAUAGUACCUGUGAAGAUGCAGGUUACCCGCGACAGGACGGAAAGACCCCGUGGAGCUUUACUGCAGCCUGAUAUUGAAUGUUGGUACAGCUUGUACAGGAUAGGUAGGAGCCUUGGAAACCGGAGCGCCAGCUUCGGUGGAGGCAUCGGUGGGAUACUACCCUGGCUGUAUUGACCUUCUAACCCGCCGCCCUUAUCGGGCGGGGAGACAGUGUCAGGUGGGCAGUUUGACUGGGGCGGUCGCCUCCUAAAAGGUAACGGAGGCGCCCAAAGGUUCCCUCAGAAUGGUUGGAAAUCAUUCGCAGAGUGUAAAGGCACAAGGGAGCUUGACUGCGAGACCUACAAGUCGAGCAGGGACGAAAGUCGGGCUUAGUGAUCCGGUGGUUCCGCAUGGAAGGGCCAUCGCUCAACGGAUAAAAGCUACCCCGGGGAUAACAGGCUUAUCUCCCCCAAGAGUCCACAUCGACGGGGAGGUUUGGCACCUCGAUGUCGGCUCAUCGCAUCCUGGGGCUGUAGUCGGUCCCAAGGGUUGGGCUGUUCGCCCAUUAAAGCGGUACGCGAGCUGGGUUCAGAACGUCGUGAGACAGUUCGGUCCCUAUCCGUCGCGGGCGCAGGAAAUUUGAGAGGAGCUGUCCUUAGUACGAGAGGACCGGGAUGGACGCACCGCUGGUGUACCAGUUGUUCUGCCAAGGGCAUCGCUGGGUAGCUAUGUGCGGACGGGAUAAGUGCUGAAAGCAUCUAAGCAUGAAGCCCCCCUCAAGAUGAGAUUUCCCAUUCCGCAAGGAAGUAAGAUCCCUGAAAGAUGAUCAGGUUGAUAGGUCUGAGGUGGAAGUGUGGCGACACAUGGAGCUGACAGAUACUAAUCGAUCGAGGACUUAACCAAUUU
rnacentral:rRNA from 3 species